CCUACGGGAGGCAGCAGUGGGGAAUAUUGCGCAAUGGGCGAAAGCCUGACGCAGCGACGCCGCGUGAGUGAUGAAGGUCUUCGGAUCGUAAACCUCUGUCAGCAGGGAAGAACGGUCACUGUGCUAAUCAGCAGUUAAUUGACGGUACCUGCAAAGGAAGCACCGGCUAACUCCGUGCCAGCAGCCGCGGUAAUACGGAGGGUGCGAGCGUUAAUCGGAAUUACUGGGCGUAAAGCGCUCGUAGGCGGUAUGUUAAGUCAAGGGUGAAAUCCCCGCGCUCAACGUGGGAACUGCCUUUGAAACUGGGACACUGGAGUGUGUGAGAGGAUAGUGGAAUUACAGGUGUAGGAGUGAAAUCCGUAGAUAUGUGGAGGAACAUCAGUGGCGAAGGCGACUAUCUGGCACAUAACUGACGCUGAGGAGCGAAAGCGUGGGUAGCAAACAGGAUUAGAUACCCGAGUAGUC
rnacentral:rRNA from 1 species